rnacentral:rRNA from 1 species
AGGGUUUGACAUCCACUGAAUACUUAAGAGAUUAGGUAGGCCCCUUCGGGGGACAGUGAGAC